UACGUAGGGCGCAAGCGUUGUCCGGAAUUAUUGGGCGUAAAGAGCUCGUAGGCGGCCAGUUGCGUCCGCUGUGAAAUCCCGGGGCUUAACCCCGGGCGUGCAGUGGAUACGGGCUGGCUAGAGGCAGGCAGGGGAGAACGGAAUUCCCGGUGGAGCGGUGAAAUGCGUUGAGAUCGGAAGGAACGCCCGUGGCGAAAGCGAGGUCCUGGACGUUUUCUGACGCUGAGACGCGAAAGCCAGGGGAGCAAACGGG
rnacentral:rRNA from 1 species